UCGAGCACACCAAGCUCGGGUGGGUGCCCCGAGGGAGGCCCUUCCCUCACACUGAGCCUUGCCCUGAGCAGGAGGAGGCCUGGAGGGCUGGCAGGAGCUGCCCAGCAGGCUCAAAGCUGGGCACGGCUUCCUUUGGGAUGACAGUGCCAAAUCUGGCUGUGGAGCUGCUUUUCGGAUCGCCGUCACUCGGGCUCAGGGCGCUGUGAGGCCAGCGCUGUUCCUCUCUGAAACUGUUUCGUGUUGUGGAGUGCUUUGCCAAACGUUCAUCGUGAGCUGAAUCUUUCAGGCUGGGUGUCCAACAUACACGAAGUCAUCUAAACAACCCACUUUAAACAAGCCUGGCCUUGCUGGGAUUGAAAAGUGGGAGGAUGUGCUGGUUUGCUGCCAAGGCUGGAAACUCCAAAGGGCAGGACAGCCUGGUGUGAGCUGCUUGUGUGGGACAUUAUCACAGGGUUCACUGUCCACGUGUCCACCCUGAUGAGGAAUCGAUGUGGGAGAGGUA